GAACUUACCUUUGUUGCUUGGGCGGGCUGCGGGGUCCUUGGACCCCCCGUCGACCCCGGUGGACGCGCGCCCGUCGGAGGCCCCUCCGAACUCUGUUAAUCAGUGAAGUCCGAGCCAAAACAUAAUCGUUAAAACUUUCAACAACGGAUCUCUUGGUUCCGGCAUCGAUGAANAACGCAGCGAAAUGCGAUAAGUAAUGUGAAUUGCAAAAUUCAGUGAAUCAUCGAAUCUUUGAACGCACAUUGCGCCCUCCGGUAUUCCGGGGGGCAUGCCUGUUCGAGCGUCAUUACAACCCUCAAGCUCGGCUUGGUGUUGGGUGCCGUCCCCCCGGGGCGCCCCCGAAAGUCAGCGGCGACGCGGUCGGUCUUCAAGCGUAGUAAAACUUUUGUUUCGCUGUCGGAGCCCGGGCGCGUCCGCCGGACAACCCUCUUAUUUCAAUGGUCGACCUCGGAUCAGGUAGGGAUACCCGCUGAACUUAAGCAUAUCAAUAA
rnacentral:rRNA from 1 species